GCUCCUGUGGCGCAAUCGGUUAGCGUGUGGUACUUAUAAUGCCGAGGUUGUGAGUUCGAGCCUCACCAGGAGGAGCA